UCUCCGUAGGUGAACCUGCGGAGGGAUCAUUACUGAGUGAGGGCUCACGCCCGACCUCCAACCCUUUGUGAACCAAACUUGUUGCUUCGGGGGCGACCCGGCGUUCGGGCUUCGCGGCCCCCGGUGGACCACCCAACCCUGCAUCGUUGCGUCUGAGUCGAAAUAAAAAUCAAUCAAAACUUUCAACAACGGAUCUCUGGGUUCUGGCAUCGAUGAAGAACGCAGC
rnacentral:misc_RNA from 1 species